UACGGGGGGGGUAAGCGUUGUUCGGAAUUACUGGGCGUAAAGAGCUCGUAGGCGGCCUUCUAAGUCGAACGUGAAAUCCCCGGGCUCAACCCGGGAACUGCGUCCGAUACUGGGAGGCUUGAAUCCGGGAGAGGGAUGUGGAAUUCCAGGUGUAGCGGUGAAAUGCGUAGAUAUCUGGAAGGAACACCGGUGGCGAAGGCGGCAGUCCUGGACCGGUAUUGGACGCUGAGGCGCGAAAGCCAGGGGAG
rnacentral:rRNA from 1 species